AUGGAGCGGUACGGCUCUCUGGGCAUGCGGCUGGACGGCGGGGGCGGCGAGCUGCCGCCAGGGUUCCGCUUCCACCCGACGGACGAGGAGCUCAUCACCUACUACCUCCUCCGCAAGGUGGUGGACUGCGGCUUCUCCGGUGCCCGCGCCAUCGCCGAGAUCGACCUCAACAAGUGCGAGCCGUGGGAGCUGCCGGACAAGGCCUGCAAGACCACGGCGGAGAAGGAGUGGUAUUUCUACAGCCUCCGCGACCGCAAGUACCCCACGGGCCUGCGCACCAACCGCGCCACGGGCGCCGGCUACUGGAAGGCCACCGGCAAGGACCGCGAGAUCCGCAGCGCCCGCAACGGCGCGCUCGUCGGCAUGAAGAAGACGCUCGUCUUCUACCGGGGCCGCGCCCCCAAGGGCCAGAAGACCCAGUGGGUCAUGCACGAGUUCCGCCUCGAGGGCGUCUACGCCUACCACUUCCUGCCCAACAACACCACAAGGGAUGAGUGGGUGAUCGCCAAGAUCUUCGUGAAGCCCGGCGCGGUGCCCCCCUCGCGCAAGGCUCGCUACGGACUCAGCAGCGCCGGCGACACGUCGUGCUUCUCCGACUCCACCUCCGUCUCCAUCGGCGGCGGGGGCGGCGCCUCCGCAUCGUCCGCGCCGCGCCAGCAGCUCCCGGAUACCAGCUCGCUGUUGGCCGCGGCGCACGCCGCCGCUGACGGCGAGAGCAGCUCCUACGGCGCCACCGCCAACAACAACGCGGCGGGCAACUGCCGCGAGCUCGUGCCCUGCUUCUCCACCGCCCACAUGGAUGCCACCCUCCUCGGCAUCGGGCAGUACGAACCGGUUACGCUCGCAGUCGAGCAGCCGUUGGCCUUCUUCCAGGGCUCCCGCCUGGUACAGGCGGCGGACAACCUCAGUCUGCCGAUGUUCCUCCCCGGCGGCCUGCAGUCCGGCGUCUCCCCGCUCGGCAUGGGCGGAGGGACCUUCCAGCACUGGCCGCCCUCCGGCUACGACAUUAAGCUGGAGGGCAGCCGCGCGCCGCCGCAGAUGGCCGUGGGCCCUGGCCAGCUUGACGGCGCCUACGGCUGGGGCUUCUAG
rnacentral:rRNA from 1 species